CCUACGGGAGGCAGCAGUGGGGAAUUUUGGACAAUGGGCGCAAGCCUGAUCCAGCAAUGCCGCGUGAGUGAAGAAGGCCUUCGGGUUGUAAAGCUCUUUUGUCAGGGAAGAAACGGUCUACUCUAAUACAGUGGGCUAAUGACGGUACCUGAAGAAUAAGCACCGGCUAACUACGUGCCAGCAGCCGCGGUAAUACGUAGGGUGCAAGCGUUAAUCGGAAUUACUGGGCGUAAAGCGUGCGCAGGCGGUUAUAUAAGUCAGAUGUGAAAUCCCCGGGCUCAACCUGGGAACUGCAUUUGAGACUGUAUGGCUAGAGUGUGUCAGAGGGGGGUAGAAUUCCACGUGUAGCAGUGAAAUGCGUAGAUAUGUGGAGGAAUACCGAUGGCGAAGGCAGCCCCCUGGGAUAACACUGACGCUCAUGCACGAAAGCGUGGGGAGCAAACAGGAUUAGAUACCCUGGUAGUCCACGCCCUAAACGAUGUCUACUAGUUGUCGGGACUUAAUUGUCUUGGUAACGCAGCUAACGCGUGAAGUAGACCGCCUGGGGAGUACGGUCGCAAGAUUAAAACUCAAAGGAAUUGACGG
rnacentral:rRNA from 1 species